UACGUAGGGUGCAAGCGUUGUCCGGAAUUAUUGGGCGUAAAGAGCUCGUAGGCGGUUUGUCGCGUCUGCUGUGAAAACUCGGGGCUUAACCCUGGGCCUGCAGUGGGUACGGGCAGACUAGAGUGCGGUAGGGGAGACUGGAAUUCCUGGUGUAGCGGUGAAAUGCGCAGAUUUCAGGAGGAACACCGGUGGCGAAGGCGGGUCUCUGGGCCGUAACUGACGCUGAGGAGCGAAAGCGUGGGGAGCGAACAGG
rnacentral:rRNA from 1 species